UUCCGGUUGAUCCUGCCGGACCCCACUGCUAUCGGGGUGGGACUAAAACAUGCGAGUCGAGCGCCUUCAAGCUAUGGUGAAGGCGCGGCGAACGGCUCAGUAACACGUGGCUAACCUACCCUUUGGACGGGGACAACCCCGGGAAACUGGGCCUAAUCCCCGAUAGAUGAGAAGUCCUGGAAUGGUUUCUCAUCUAAAAGGUGUUUAGAGCAUGCUUCUAGGCGUCGCCAAAGGAUGGGGCCGCGGCCGAUCAGGUUGUUGGUGAGGUAACGGCUCACCAAGCCUAUAACCGGUACGGGCCGUGAGAGCGGGAGCCCGGAGAUGGGCACUGAGAUAAGGGCCCAGGCCCUACGGGGCGCAGCAGUUGCGAAAACUCCGCAAUGCGCGAAAGCGUGACGGGGCUACCCCGAGUGCCGUCCGCUGAGGACGGCUUUUCCACGGUGUAAGGAGCCGUGGGAAUAAGGAGAGGGCAAGACUGGUGUCAGCCGCCGCGGUAAUACCAGCUCUCCGAGUGGUGGGGACGAUUAUUGGGCUUAAAGCGUUCGUAGCCGGCUCAGCAAGUCUUCCGUUAAAUCCAGCGAUCUAAUCGUUGGACUGCGGGAGAUACUGUUGGGCUAGGGGGCGGGAGAAGCCGACGGUAUUCUCGGGGUAGGGGUGAAAUCCUAUAAUCCCUGGAAGACCACCAGUGGCGAAGGCGGUCGGCUAGAACGCGCUCGACGGUGAGGGACGAAAGCUGGGGGAGCGAACCGGAUUAGAUACCCGGGUAGUCCCAGCUGUAAACGAUGCGGGCUAUGUGUUGGGGCGGUCACGAGCCGCUUCAGUGCCGCACGGAAGCAAUUAAGCCCGCCGCCUGGGGA
rnacentral:rRNA from 1 species